rnacentral:piRNA from 1 species
UAUGUGGGACUUGACAAUCUGCAAGGUGU